CCUACGGGGGGCAGCAGUGAGGAAUAUUGGUCAAUGGGCGAGAGCCUGAACCAGCCAAGUCGCGUGAAGGAUGACGGCCCUACGGGUUGUAAACUUCUGUUGUCAGGGAGCAAGUGGGUCCACGCGUGGGCUUAGCGAGAGUACCUGAAGAAAAAGCAGCGGCUAACUCCGUGCCAGCAGCCGCGGUAAUACGGAGGAUGUGAGCGUUAUCCGGAUUUCUUGGGUUUAAAGGGUGCGUAGGCGGAAUAUCAAGUCAGCGGUAAAGAUUCGGGGCUCAACCCCGUCGUGCCGUUGAAACUGAUGUUCUUGCGUGGGCUAGAAGUAUGCGGAAUGCGUGGUGUAGCCGUUACAUGCAUAGAUAUCACGCAUAACUCCGAUUGCGAAGGCAGCAUACCGGCGCCCAACUGACGCUGAGGCACGAAAGCGUGGGUAUCGAACAGGAUUAGAUACCCUAGUAGUC
rnacentral:rRNA from 1 species